rnacentral:lncRNA from 1 species
GUCAUAUCUCCAAUGACACUGUACACGUCACUACACUCAAUUGGGAAAAUGACAAUGGGAGCAUAGGGGUGCAGUAUAACUACAUGGACUGCUCCACUGCAGCAUGAGAGACUGGGAGGUAACCUGAUCCAGUCUCUGGUCUUCUUGCACUGCCAAGCAGAUAUUACUCUGUCUACAGUUGACGGCCAGCCCAUCCCCACCUGGCUGAAUCUACACUACUCGUUACGGAUCUGCUGCUCUCUCACUGUCUAUGGCACACCUCUGGAAAAGCCGCCGGCACAUCCGGCUGGAGAACCCUGAAGCACUGGAAUGGGAUUGGGGGGACUAGUGAUGAAGACUACAGGAUGCCUAUCCACCGUGGCCUAGUGUUUUGAUGCCAUCUAUUGGAAUAAUUGACCAAUUUAUCAAGGGGAGUAUACAGAGUGACUACCAACUGAAAUGCUUUCUAUCCUCAUAAUAGAAGUGGUCAAUUAUAAAUAUAUCAGUUACAAUUACUAAAUUCUACCCAACAAACAUUGAGUAAACAUUCAGCUAAUUUUGAUAUCAGAAUGAUUAUAUCUCAACUACUUCUACCAAGUCAAAUUUCAAAUGAUGAAAUGGUGAUAUGAUCGUGAACUAGAGAUAUCUUGAUUUUGCAUGAUGCCAGGUGUUUUUAUAAAGUAAAACAAUAGUUUGGAUCAAUACAAAGCAUAUCUCUUUUCUCCCAAACAUUGGAAAUCAC